ensembl:lncRNA LINC02964 long intergenic non-protein coding RNA 2964
UCUUUGACAGGAUUGCUGCCAUGACUCAAAAUGGGACCAUGCCUUCAGAUCUCCAUCUGCUCCACCCAGGUAAUAAGGACACUUGGAGCCUUCAUGCUCCAUUUGUGACUGGCAAUACAGGGACCUAAAGCGCUGCUGGGUUAGGGUCUCCCCGACCUAGCUGGUCUCGGCAAGUGGCAUCCAUUGUGGGGACUGAAUCCAGGUCAAAGGGUCACAGGAGCGAUGGUUGGAACAGAAAACUAGCUGGAGGACAUCUGAGUACUCUUAAAGCAAUCCCUGUGGUGAGUAAGAAGGGGAGCUUGGAAGCGUCAGGGUAACAAUGGGACAGGUGUGGGGUCUGGUUCAUUUCACCUUGGAACUUUUUCACGCUGAUGUUGAGGAGGAACAAGAGUAUAGCGAAGUAACAGAAGAGGUUACAGAGCAUGUUUAUUUGCCAGCUAAAGCUAAAGCGGCAAAGGAGUGAGAGGUUCAUCCGUACCUUUCUGCACCCCCUCCUUAUUAUUUGGAAGAAAAUGACCCUCCAGAUCUUUCUUUUCCAGAGGACACUGGGUGAAAAGUAGUGGCCCCAGUGACAGUUCGAGCAGUGCCUCGAGCGACCGCUCUUAGUUCUACUCAGGCAGGAAUUCAGCAAGCUAAACAAGAGGGUGAUUUAGAGGCUUGGCAGUUCCCUGUUAGAAUACACCCCCAGAUCAAAAAGGAAGUAUUAUAGCUACAUUUGAGCCUUUUCCUUUUAAAUUACUCAAAGAAUUUAAACAAGCUAUUCAUACUAAAAAAGAAUGUAGAAAAAAGUCAGCAAGUCAGGCCGCCAGAGAGGGGAAAAAAGAAAAUUGUUGAGCCUGAAAUAUGUCCAAAAUGUAAAAAAGGAAAA